AAAGUCGUAACAAGGUUUCCGUAGGUGAACCUGCGGAAGGAUCAUUAUCGUAGGGCUUCGGCCCUGUCGAGAUAGAACCCUUGCCUUUAUGAGUACCGUCCGUUUCCUCGGCAGGUCCGCCUGCCGAUGGACAAAAAAAAUAAACCCUUUAUCACCUGUAUCAGUCUGAAAAAUAUAUAAAAAUUAAAACUUUCAACAACGGAUCUCUUGGUUCUG
rnacentral:misc_RNA from 1 species